GGCUCCGUGGCCCAACAGGAAGAGGCGGCAGGUCGAGAACCUGUCAACGUGUGGGUUCGAACCCCACCGGAGCUA
rnacentral:tRNA from 1 species